AUGGCGACGUCGUCGUCGGCUGGCGGGGGCGGUGCCGCCGGGGGCGCGCCUGGACUCAAGACUUACUUCAAGACUCCCGAGGGCCGGCAUAAGCUGCAGUACGAGAAGACCCACUCCCCCUCCGUGCUGCACUACAACCACAGCUCUGGUGGCAAGACUGUCUCCGAGAUGACAGUGGCAUAUUUGAAGGAGAAACCGGUGGGGCAGGGCUCUACACCGUCAACACCAAGUUCCAGCAGUGGCAUGCGAUCUGCAGCUGCAAGACUGCUUGGUACCGGGAAUGGGAGCCGGACACUUAGCUUUGCAGGCAGCAACGGUGUCAGCAGGGCUGUUUCAGGGAGCAGCCGUGUGGGUGGCGGCGUUGGUACGUCAACAGGCGUUGGUGGAUCUCAAGCCGUGGCGAAUUACGAUGGCAAGGGAACAUACAUCAUCUUCAAUACCGCAGAUACACUGUUCAUUAGUGAUCUCAACUCACAUGACAAAGAUCCAGUAAAGUCCAUCCACUUCAGCAACUCAAACCCAGUUUGUCAUGCAUUUGACUCGGAGGCCAAAGAUGGGCAUGACGUGAUUGUUGGAUUAUGGUCAGGAGAUGUCUAUUCAAUGUCAUUGAGGCAACAGUUGCAAGAUCCUGGAAAGAAGCCUGUUAUGUCUCAGCAUUUUAUCAAUAAAGACAAAGAUGGAACUGCCAACAGCCGCUGUACUUGUGUUGCAUGGGUUCCAGAGCGUGAAGGCAUUUUUGUUGUCAGCAAUGCUGAUGGGAAUCUGUAUGUGUAUGACAAAUCCAAGGAUGGAAGUGCUGACUGGGCAUUUCCAACUGUAAGGGAUCAAAAUCAGCUGGUGAUUUCACAUGCAAAGUCCAAUAAGAGCAAUCCUACUGCAAGAUGGCACAUCUGUCAAGGUGCAAUCAAUGCCAUUUCAUUUUCGCCGGAUGGAGCUUACAUGGCAACUGUUGGGCGAGAUGGUUAUUUAAGAGUAUUUGACUUCGCGAAAGAACAACUAAUAUUUGGUGGGAAAAGUUACUAUGGUGCUCUUUUGUGUUGCUCAUGGAGUGCGGAUGGAAAAUAUAUAUUAUCAGGUGGGGAAGAUGAUCUUGUGCAAGUAUGGAGCAUGGAUGACAGAAAGAUGGUUGCGUGGGGCGAGGGGCAUACAUCAUGGGUUAGCUCAGUUGCCUUUGAUUCGUAUUGGUCCCCUCCAAGUUCUGAUGACGCAGGAGAAAAUGCCAUGUAUCGCUUUGGUUCUGUUGGCCAGGAUACCCAACUUCUUCUCUGGGAUUUGGCAAUGGAUGAGAUUGCUGUGCCACUUCGACAUCCUUCCAGCGGCUCCCCAACAUUUAGCAGUGGAAGCCCUUCUGCACACUGGGACAGUGCAUGUCCUCCUCCUACUGGUGUUCUUCAGCCGUCUCCACGGAUGCGAGACGUACCAAAGCUCUCACCCCUCGUUGCACACAGAGUACAUGCUGAUCCCCUUUCUGGCCUAGAAUUCACCAGUGAAUCGAUCGUCACCAUAUGCCGUGAGGGGCUAAUCAAAAUCUGGGCCAGGCCACAACACAGUGAAAACAGCCAGCGGCCAAAUUCUUCUGAGCUGGCAGCUGGCAAUGCCAUCUCCAAGGAUAAGAUGAUAACAUCACCAAACAAAGCAGGCACUUCCAGCUCUAGCUUCAAGCAACCAUCAUCUGUUAUUUUCUCAUGA
rnacentral:rRNA from 1 species